GAUGAACGCUGGCGGCGUGCCUAAUACAUGCAAGUCGAGCGAACGGACGAGAAGCUUGCUUCUCUGAUGUUAGCGGCGGACGGGUGAGUAACACGUGGAUAACCUACCUAUAAGACUGGGAUAACUUCGGGAAACCGGAGCUAAUACCGGAUAAUAUUUUGAACCGCAUGGUUCAAAAGUGAAAGACGGUCUUGCUGUCACUUAUAGAUGGAUCCGCGCUGCAUUAGCUAGUUGGUAAGGUAACGGCUUACCAAGGCAACGAUGCAUAGCCGACCUGAGAGGGUGAUCGGCCACACGGGAACUGAGACACGGUCCAGACUCCUACGGGAGGCAGCAGUAGGGAAUCUUCCGCAAUGGGCGAAAGCCUGACGGAGCAACGCCGCGUGAGUGAUGAAGGUCUUCGGAUCGUAAAACUCUGUUAUUAGGGAAGAACAUAUGUGUAAGUAGCUGUGCACAUCUUGACGGUACCUAAUCAGAAAGCCACGGCUAACUACGU
rnacentral:rRNA from 1 species